rnacentral:rRNA from 1 species
UACGUAGGUGGCAAGCGUUGUCCGGAAUUAUUGGGCGUAAAGCGCGCGCAGGCGGCCUCCUAAGUCCGAUGUGAAAGCCCACGGCUCAACCGUGGAGGGUCAUUGGAAACUGGGGGACUUGAGUGCAGGAGAGAAGAGUGGAAUUCCACGUGUAGCGGUGAAAUGCGUAGAGAUGUGGAGGAACACCAGUGGCGAAGGCGACUCUUGGCCUGUAACUGACGCUGAGGCGCGAAAGCGUGGGAGCAAACAGG